GACGAACGCUGGCGGCGUGCCUAACACAUGCAAGUCGAGCGAAUGAAGUUCCUUCGGGAACGGAUUUAGCGGCGGACGGGUGAGUAACACGUGGGCAACCUGCCUCAUAGAGGGGAAUAGCCUUCCGAAAGGGAGAUUAAUACCGCAUAAGAUUGUAGUUUCGCAUGAAACAGCAAUUAAAGGAGCAAUUCGCUAUGAGAUGGGCCCGCGGCGCAUUAGCUAGUUGGUGAGGUAACGGCUCACCAAGGCGACGAUGCGUAGCCGACCUGAGAGGGUGAUCGGCCACAUUGGGACUGAGACACGGCCCAGACUCCUACGGGAGGCAGCAGUGGGGAAUAUUGCACAAUGGGGGAAACCCUGAUGCAGCAACGCCGCGUGAGUGAUGACGGUCUUCGGAUUGUAAAGCUCUGUCUUCAGGGACGAUAAUGACGGUACCUGAGGAGGAAGCCACGGCUAACUACGUGCCAGCCGCCGCGGUAAUAC
rnacentral:rRNA from 1 species